rnacentral:lncRNA from 10 species
UUUAGAAAUGGAGUCUCACUCUGUGGGCCAGGCUGGAGGGCAAUGACGUGAUCAUAGCUCACUAUAGCCUCAAACUCCAGGGCUCAAGAGAUCCUUCCACCUCAGUCUCCCAGCACUUUAAACAUGCCACACCACUCUCUACUGGCCUGUAAGGAAGAAGUGACCAUGUCAUAAAUGAUUCAUCUACUGUGGAGAAGAAUGUGUAUUCUGCAGCUGUUGGAUGAAAUAGUCUGUAAAUAUCUAUUAGGUUCAUUUGGUCAAUAGUGCUGAUUAAAUCCAAUUUUCUUUCUUGUUGUUGAGUUUCUGCUGGAUUAUCUGUCUAAUGCUGAAAAUUGGGUUUUGAGUUCUCCAGCUAUUAUUAUACUGGGGUCUAUCCUUGGCUCUAAUAAUAUUUGCUUUACAUAUCUGGGUGCUCCUGUGUUGGGUGCAUAUAUACCCACAAUCAUAUAAUGUUUCAGGAUGUUUCAUUAUGUAAUGUCCUUCUUUGUCUCUUCUUACAUGUUUUGUCUUGAAAUCUAUUUUUCUAAUAUAUGUAUACAUAUUCCUGCUCUCUUUUGGUUUCCAUUGGCAUUGAGUAUCUUUCUUCAACCCUUUAUUUUUAGUCUAUGUAUAUCUUUAUAGAAGAAGAGUGUUUCUUGCAAAGAAGAGAUCAUUGGGUCUUGUUUUAUCAUUCAUUCAGCCACUCUAUAUCUUUUUAUUGGAGAUCCAUUUAUAUUUAAUGUUAUUAAUGAUAAGUAGAGACUCACUUCUGCCAUUCUGAAAUGUGUUUUCUAGUUGUUUUGUGGUCUUCUCUUUUUUUCAUUUCUUCCUUCCUGUCUUCCUUUAAAUGAAGGUAUUUUUUCUGUGCUGAUAUACUUUAAUUUCUUGCUUUAUAUAUUUUUUGUAUCCCAUUGUAUGUUUUUUGAUUUGAGGCUACCCCAAGGUUUGCAAAUAUUAUUAUAUAACCCAUUACUUUGAACUGAUGACAACUUAACACUGAUUACAUAAACAAGCAAACAAACAAACAUACAGAAAGUACACUACUAAAAGCUCUACACUUUAAACUUAUCACCCCACUUUCAAACUUUUUUUGUUUCACUUUAUUUCUUAUUAUACUAUGUCUUGAAAAAUUGUCGUAGCCAUUCUUUUUGCUUUGUUCAUUGUUUAGCCUUUCUACUUAAGGUAAGAGUAGUUUACACAAUGCCACUACAGUGUCAUCAUAUUCCAUUUCUCUGAGUACUUAUUUUUACCAGUGGGUUUUGUACCUUCAGAUAAUUUCUUAUUGCUUAUUAACAUCCUUUUAUUUCAGAUUAAACAUCUCCCUUUAGCAUUUCUUUUAGGACAGGUCUACUGUUCAUGAAAUCCUUCAGGUUUUAUUUGUCUGGGAAGCUAUUUAUUUAUCCUUCAUGCGUGCAGGAUAUUUUCCCAGUUAUACUAUUCUAGGGUAAAAUGUUUUAUCCUUCAGCCCUUUAAACAUGCCAUGCCACUCUCUCC